rnacentral:rRNA from 1 species
CAGGGCAUGGGAAUUCUACUGGAAUGUGUUUUCCUUGAAAGGCAACGCCCUAGGAUGAGUUGGCGGCGGAUUAGCUUGUUGGUGGGGUAAUGGCCCACCAAGGCAUGGAUCCGUAGGGGCCUUGGAAGAGGUAGCCCCGAGAAGGGAACCGAGAUACUGUCCCUAGCCCCACGGGGUGCAGCAGGCGCGAAAACUUUACACUACACGAAAGUGUGAUAAGGGGAUUCCAAGUGCCUAUACACAUGUAUAGGCUUUUUUCGAGAGUAAAAUUCUCGGAGAAUAAGUGGUGGGAAAGACCGGUGCCAGCAGCCGCGGUAAUACCGGCGCCACUAGUAGGGAUCAUGGUUAUUGGGCCUAAAGCGUUCGUAGCAGGCCCUGUAAAUCUCUUGUGAAAUCGUUGGGCUCAACCUAACGGCGUGCAGGAGACACUGCAGGGCUCGGGACCGGGAGGGGUAAGAGGUAUUCCUUGGGGAGCGGUAAAAUGCUAUAAUCCUUGGAAGACCACCUGUGGCGAAGGCGUCUUACCAGAACGGGUCUGACUGUGAGGGACGAAAGCCAGGGGAGCAAUCCGGAUUAGAUACCCGAGUAGUCCUGGCUGUAAACGCUGCGAGCAAGGUGUUGCAUAUUCUAACAUGAAUAUGCAGUGUCGAAACGAAGGUGUUAAGCUCGCCGCC